rnacentral:rRNA from 1 species
AUUGAACGCUGGCGGCAGGCCUAACACAUGCAAGUCGAGCGGUUGAGGUAGCUUGCUACCGAUGCAGCGGCGGACGGGUGAGUAAUACAUGGGAAUCUGCCUGGUAGUGGGGGACAACGUUUCGAAAGGAACGCUAAUACCGCAUACGCCCUACGGGGAAAGGGGGGGAUCGCAAGACCUCUCGCUAUCAGAUGAGCCCA